rnacentral:rRNA from 1 species
UACGGGGGGAGCAAGCGUUGUUCGGAUUUACUGGGCGUAAAGGGCGCGUAGGCGGCCACCGCAAGUCGAUUGUGAAAUCUCCGGGCUUAACCCGGAAAGGUCAACCGAUACUGCGGGGCUGGAGUGCAGAAGGGGCAACUGGAAUUCUCGGUGUAGCGGUGAAAUGCGUAGAUAUCGAGAGGAACACCUGCGGCGAAGGCGGGUUGCUGGGCUGACACUGACGCUGAAGUGCGAAAGCUAGGGGAGCGAACGGG